rnacentral:rRNA from 1 species
CUACGGGAUGCAGCAGUGGGGAAUAUUGGACAGUGGGGGAAACCCUGAUCCAGCAAUGCCGCGUGAGUGAAGAAGGCCCUCGGGUUGUAAAGCUCUUUCAGUCGUGACGAUGAUGACGGUAACGACAGAAGAAGCCCCGGCUAACUCCGUGCCAGCAGCCGCGGUAAUACGGAGGGGGCUAGCGUUGUUCGGAAUUACUGGGCGUAAAGCGCACGUAGGUGGCUUGAUAAGUCAGAGGUGAAAGGCCUGGGCUCAACCUAGGAACUGCCUUUGAUACUAUCAGGCUAGAGUCCGGAAGAGGGUAGUGGAAUGUCCAGUGUAGAGGUGAAAUUCGUAGAUAUUGGAAAGAACACCAGUGGCGAAGGCGGCUACCUGGUCCGGUACUGACGCUGAGGUGCGAAAGCGUGGGGAGCAAACAGGAUUAGAUACCCGCGUAGUC